rnacentral:rRNA from 1 species
UACGUAGGGGGCAAGCGUUAUCCGGAUUUACUGGGUGUAAAGGGAGCGUAGACGGUUAGAUAAGUCAGAUGUGAAAGCCCAGGGCUCAACCCUGGGACUGCAUUUGAAACUAUCUAACUAGAGUGCAGGAGAGGUAAGUGGAAUUCCUAGUGUAGCGGUGAAAUGCGUAGAUAUUAGGAGGGACACCAGUGGCGAAGGCGACUUACUGGACUGUAACUGACGUUGAUGCUCGAAAGCGUGGGGAGCAAACAGG